ACGUAUAAAAAGCAUUUCACGCAAUCCACCAUUUCUUCUUCAACCUUUCGAGUGUAAGGUGUCAACACCGUAAAUAUUGUUAUGCAGUAUUUUUUGGUUAUGUUGUCAGAUCUAAGUGAAAACCCAACUACACGUGAACCGCCUUGAGCAGGCAUCUUCGUGAUGAGGUUGGUGAUUUCGAUCUUACAAUCAGAGACCUUCACGUCACCAUCUUGAGUCAAGAUGUGUAGCCUGGCUAGCAACACACCACCCUGACUGUUGUAUGGGAAGAAGCACAAAAAGGUGUGGUGAAUAGAACACGACUCUGACCAAAAGUCUCUCUAGGGGCAAGAUGUCAAACAGGUUCAAGUUUGGGACGGAGAUGCAGCACCACCAUGUGGCUGAAAUCAUCAUGACAAAAAUGAUCUGCAAUGGUUUCUUGCCCACUUUUUUUUUUUUUUUUUUUUUUUUUAUAAACUGGUCAGUUAGUCAACAGUGGUGUUAAAAUGGUUUAUUAUAAAGAUGUUGAACAUAAUUCAAGCACAAUGGCACAUUCAAGUAUUUGACAGAACAGGAGUGGGUGUUCAGUGGAACUGUCCUGCACGUAGAGGUUGAUCUGUGUGUGAAGAUGACCUGUAGGAUUUCUUCUUUAAACUCUCCAGAAAAAUCUGCUCCUCUUGGAGGUAUUGGCGCUCCUGUGAGAAGAAAUGAACAUUUAAUUUCUUUUUUUUUUUUUUUUUUUUUUUUUUUUUUUAAAUGUGCAAGACAUUUCUUUGGCCUGUGUUGUAGCCAUAGGUUUAAAUGCACAUAUGGUUGGUGUCUUUGUAACCAACUUUACUACAAGUGUUGUUUUGACAAAUAAAGAAGAACUUGCCCCAA